rnacentral:rRNA from 1 species
AGCAUAAUCAUUUGCCUCUUAAUUGGAGGCUAGAAUGAAUGGUUCAACAUGCCAUUCCUUUUAUUAAUUUGUUAAUUUUAAUUUCUCCUGUAAGUAAAAAGACUUACAUAAACAGGGGGACGACAAGACCCUGUCGAACUUAACUUAAAGUUAAGCUGGGGCGGCUAAAAACCAAAUCUUUUCCAAACCCUCUUUACCUAACCCUAACAAGGAUUAUUAAGUUACCGCAGGGAUAACAGCAUAAUUUACUCUUAAAGACCUUAUUUAAGAAUAAGAUUGUGACCUCGAUGUUGAAUUAAUAUUCUUCUUCAAGCAAAAUUUUAGAAAGAAAGUCUGUUCGACUUUUAAAUAAUUACAUGAUUUGAGUUCAGACCGGCGCG